AUGAACGCUAGCUACAGGCUUAACACAUGCAAGUCGAGGGGCAGCGGGAUUGAAGCUUGCUUCAAUUGCCGGCGACCGGCGCACGGGUGAGUAACGCGUAUCCAACCUUCCGUACACUCAGGGAUAGCCUUUCGAAAGAAAGAUUAAUACCUGAUGGUAUGAUGAGAUUGCAUGAUAUCAUCAUUAAAGAUUUAUCGGUGUACGAUGGGGAUGCGUUCCAUUAGGUAGUAGGCGGGGUAACGGCCCACCUAGCCAACGAUGGAUAGGGGUUCUGAGAGGAAGGUCCCCCACAUUGGAACUGAGACACGGUCCAAACUCCUACGGGAGGCAGCAGUGAGGAAUAUUGGUCAAUGGACGAGAGUCUGAACCAGCCAAGUAGCGUGAAGGAGGAAGGUCCUACGGAUUGUAAACUUCUUUUAUAAGGGAAUAAACCCUCCCACGUGUGGGAGCUUGUAUGUACCUUAUGAAUAAGCAUCGGCUAACUCCGUG
rnacentral:rRNA from 1 species